AGCCCAGCAAAAGAAAAAGAAGAAACACAGAUGAUCAGCCUGGCAGUUUCACAUGAGGAAGACAGUAUGAAGAAAGCCAAGAACUCCACUAAGAGACCACUACGUAAACCCAGGAGAAGCAAGUCACCAAAACUUCAGUAUUUCUUUUCCUCUGAGCUUGCUUUGCCUGCUUGAGAAAGCAGAGGCCUGGGCCUCCCAAGCCCUGGCCAGACCUGACUGUGAGCCCAGCCCGUGGCCUUAGGCUGCCAGCACUGCUUUCCAGACCCCACCACCAGCUCUGCAGCCCGUGUCCAUCACUGCCCUCACACACACUCUCUGCAGCAAAGCUAAUAAUAAGCUCAUCCUGAUUUUUCCUCCUAUCAAUACUUCCUUGAUGCAACCUAUGGUUUUCUGUGAUCUCAAGUAGUCACCUCUUGAUUCCAUGACCUAGAAAUAAGUCACCCCUGCUUGAGGAAAUGAAAAAGUACUUCAAAUUAACACAGGUCCAAAUCUACCCUGAAUUGACAGCCACCCCACCAGCACCAAAGAGUUCCACAAAACCCACUUGUUCCUAAUUGUACCACCAAAAGGGAAAAAAGUCCUUAGAUGAGAAGUUCCUCAAGAGAAUAUUCAUUUAUGCAUUUGGUAGUUUCGUAACAUUGAUUUUGUGUGAUAUCUCCAAGGCAUAUUUUGACAAUAUAUUAGAAUUCUCAUUUUCACCCUUUUUGGGUCAGUGGAAUUUUAUCCAUUAUUGUUCUUUUUUGUUUUUGUUUUUUAAGACAACUUUAGGGCUACCACUCCCUACCUUGCUUUACCAAAUGCUGAAAAACAACAGCAGGAGGACUUGAACUUUAAGCUCUGAACCCCAUCCGUCUCAUCGCAACUAAACAGAUGCUAGUUACUCCUAUAGUGUGUUCUCUGGACCAAUUACUCCCUUGCACCAGUGCUGAAAUAUUUACAGAAUCACUCAUUUUACCUCAGAGUUUAUGCUUGGUUUUGAAUAUUUUAAAUAAUUUAGCACAGUUGAACCCUCUUAUAACCCAGCUCCUCAGUGCAUUAAUGUAAAUACUUCCAGGUCAGAUUGAGUCCCCAACAUGACUGCAUGGAAGAUAGAAGUAUUGCUUUAAGGAGGACUAACAUCCUCCCUAAAGGAUACUUGUGUUAGGAGGACUUGAAUUUUAUUGGAAAAAAACACAUAUCUAUAUAUAUUCAGAUGGAUAGAUACCACAGGUGUAGGAAAAGUGGCUCUGUUCUAUUUUUUCUUCUUUGGGAAUGAUGGGCAGUUUCCAUAAACUGGAAUUUACUGAUCCCAUUUACUACCCCUUAAAGCCCCCAAGGUUCAAAAACUUAUUUUCCAAUGAUGGAAAAGGCAAUAAAAACAAACCAACGUGAGAAUAUCCAUGACAAAGAUGUCCAAGUCCCAAAGCAGGUUUUAGGAUGGCUGCCCUGCCAGGUUGUUUUUUUCAGGUUUACUCACCUGCACCCUGGCUUCAGUAUCAUCCAUGUGUCUUGCAAGCUCCUUUCUGAGAGAAGAAAAUCACAAAUGUUCAGUAUUCUGAGAUGUGGAUGAAAUUAAAUAUAUGGAUGUUA